GAUGAACGCUGGCGGCGUGCCUAAUACAUGCAAGUCGAGCGAACAGACGAGGAGCUUGCUCCUCUGACGUUAGCGGCGGACGGGUGAGUAACACGUGGAUAACCUACCUAUAAGACUGGGAUAACUUCGGGAAACCGGAGCUAAUACCGGAUAAUAUAUUGAACCGCAUGGUUCAAUAGUGAAAGACGGUUUUGCUGUCACUUACAGAUGGAUCCGCGCCGCAUUAGCUAGUUGGUAAGGUAACGGCUUACCAAGGCGACGAUGCGUAGCCGACCUGAGAGGGUGAUCGGCCACACUGGAACUGAGACACGGUCCAGACUCCUACGGGAGGCAGCAGUAGGGAAUCUUCCGCAAUGGGCGAAAGCUUGACGGAGCAACGCCGCGUGAGUGAUGAAGGUCUUCGGAUCGUAAAACUCUGUUAUUAGGGAAGAACAAAUGUGUAAGUAACUAUGCACGUCUUGACGGUACCUAAUCAGAAAGCCACGGCUAACUACGUG
rnacentral:rRNA from 1 species